AUCGUCCCAUCCGCCUCCGCCAACUGUGGCUCCAGCACCCCUCAUCGUCUCGUCCUCCCCUGCGGGCGCCAACAGUUGCUUCGCCGUGGGCCGCCUCCCACGCGGCUCCAGCACCCCUGCGGGCGCUGCAAACGUGCGCCGCCUCGUGGAGGUGCUUCGCCUCCCCACCCGCUGCGGCAACCACAUCGUUGCCCUCCACAUCCGCAACCCCCUCGCCGCCUCCACCCUCCUCUACUCCCACGGCAACGCCACAUGUACGACCUCUUCCUCGAGCUCAGCAUCCGCCUCCGGCGUCAACGUCCUCGGGUAUGCCAACAAACCCCCCCACCCCACUACUUUAUCUCUUUCAAAAAAAAGGGUUUGCCCUAACUUCUCACCGCUGCGGCCCUGCUUCCGACCCCUCCUCCUCCCUCUCUUCCCUUCCGGCCGCUCGCCGAACGCCAUCGGAAGCCCUACUCUUCAGAAAUCGAAGAUCAAAGAUCGGGUUCUUCACUUUUCAGAAAUCAAAACCCUCCUCGUCGCCUCUUCCUCUUCCUCUUCCGCUUCCGCUAUCUAACGAUAGAUCAGUAAUUGGGUGGUUCUUUACAAACCAGGUACGAUUUGAGUUUUCAUUCUUCAAAGCAAAAGUUUGAAGCUUUUAGUCCAUUCUCUGUUAAGCUUAAAAUUUUAGGUUUCUCAAGGUUGUUCUAUUGCAUAUUUAUAAUAAGAUCUUUCUCUCAGUUGAUAACUUUAAAUCAGAUUUUGAUCGUGAUUAGAAUAUAUUGUGAUCUAAUUUUGUCCAGACUUUUGGUGUCUAUUGUCUUACAAUUGAAGUUUACCAUGCAAGGAAUGCACAGUUGGGCCAUUUCCAAUUUCGAAAAAGAUGGGAAAUUUUCUUUUAUGUUCUUAGAAACUGUUUGUGACUAAUUCAUUCCUAAUCACAUCCCAUCAUAUUAUUUUGUUCCUCAAUUUGUUCUUGUUACAACCUCUUAUCCUGUUUUUUUUUUUUUUUUUCUUUACAUUUUUGUUUCAGUUACAUGCUCCACAUCCUUAGCAUACCCAAGGUCUUGUAUGAUAGGGUCCUUUUUGCAGCUCCCAUCAGCUUAAGAUUGUUGUUGUUGUUGUUGUUUUUUUUUUUAUGGUUUAAACUUUUAAGCCUGUUUGGUCUCUCUAUAACGCUAUUGCAAAAACUUCAAAUGUAGAGC
rnacentral:lncRNA from 1 species